rnacentral:rRNA from 1 species
ACUCCUACGGGAGGCAGCAGUGGGGAAUAUUGCACAAUGGGCGCAAGCCUGAUGCAGCCAUGCCGCGUGUGUGAAGAAGGCCUUCGGGUUGUAAAAGCACUUUCAGUUGUGAGGAAAGGGUUAGUCGCUAAUAUCGGGUCUAGCUGUGACGUUAGCAACAGAAGAAGCACCGGCUAACUCCGUGCCAGCAGCCGCGGUAAUACGGAGGGUGCGAGCGUUAAUCGGAAUUACUGGGCGUAAAGCGCGUGUAGGUGGCUUUGUUAAGCCAGAUGUGAAAGCCCC